rnacentral:rRNA from 1 species
UACGGAGGAUGCAAGCGUUUAUCCGGAUUCACUGGGUUUAAAGGGUGCGUAGGCGGGCAGGUAAGUCCGUGGUGAAAUCUCUGAGCUUAACUCAGAAACUGCCAUGGAUACUAUUUGUCUUGAAUGUUGUGGAGGUAAGCGGAAUAUGAUCAUGUAGGCGGUGAAAUGCUUAGUAUAUGACAUAGAACACAAUGCGAAGG